rnacentral:rRNA from 1 species
AACUGGGGCUAAUGCUCCAUAGUGGAUAUGUCCUGGAAUGGUAUAUCCUCGAAAGAUCCGUCGCCUUAGGAUGGGACUGCGUCCGAUUAGGUUGUUGGCGGGGUAACGGCCCACCAAGCCUUUUAUCGGUACGGGUUGUGGGAGCAAGAUCCCGGAGAUGGAUUCUGAGACAUGAAUCCAGGCCCUACGGGGCGCAGCAGGCGCGCAAACUUUACAAUGCGAGCAAUCGUGAUAAGGAAACCCUGAGUGCCUGUCGAUGCAGGCUGUUCAUAUAUCUAAAUCAUAUGUGAAGAAAGGGCAGGGCAAGACCGGUGCCGGCCGCCGCGGUAAUACCGGCUGCUCGAGUGAUGGCCACUAUUACUGGGUUUAAAGCGUCCGUAGCUUGACUGUUAGGUCUCUUGGGAAAUCUUCGCGCUCAACGUGAAGGCGUCUAAGAGAUACCGGCAGUCUUGGAACUGGGAGAGGUAAACCGUACUUCGGGGGUAGGAGUGAAAUCUUGUAAUCCUCGAGGGACGACCUAUGGCGAAGGCAGUUUACCAGAACAGCUUCGACAGUGAGGGACGAAAGCUGGGGGAGCAAACGGGAUUAGAUACCCCGGUAGUCCCAGCCGUAAACAAUGUGCGUUAGGUGUGUCGGUAACCACGUGUUACUGAUGCGCCGAAGAGAAAUCGUGAAACGCACCACCUGGGAAGUACGGUCGCAAGGCUGAAACUUAAAGGAAUUGGCGGGGGAGCACCACAACAGGUGGAGCCUGCGGUUUAA